UAUCGUUAAUGUCGAGGACGUGAUCAACAUCCUCCUCGUAGUUAUCGUCGGGUCGUCCUCCUCGUCUUCGUCUUCCUCGUCCUCGUCCUCGUCUUCGUCUUCGUCCUCGUCAUCGUCAUCGUCAUCGGUGUCAUUGUCGUUGUCGUCGUAGUCGUUGACGUUAACGUCGGUGACGAUGUCGUUGUAGCUUUAGAGACCUGCUUUCCUUUGUUCUCUGACCAGAGUCCCCCCCUCCUUCUCGUUGCUCGCGUAAAUCUGUGCGGUGGUAGUGCUCCGAAAGAAGUGUAGAAGUGUACCGAGAAUCGAGAGAGACAGAUAGGUUAAGUGGUAACGGUCAGCAGGAGUACGGUCUGAUCUAAAAGAGAAAGAGGGAGUGGGAGAGAGGUAGUACGUGCGUUUUCGAGAAUAGCACGAAUUUUAGCCGCGAAUAUUCGACCGAGUCGCGGACGAGUGCAGGCCCGUAGUUUCGCGUCGCGUGCGCGCUGUCGUUUUGAACUUGGAAAGCAGGUACGAAAGUGAGAGAACGAGAGAAAGAGAGAGAGAGAGAAUAUACGCGUGUAUGAGUGCGUGUGUAUUGAUAUAUAUAUAU
rnacentral:lncRNA from 1 species